AAUCAACGCCGGCGGCGUGCCUAACACAUGCAAGUCGAACGCGAAAGGGGCUUCGGCCCUGAGUAGAGUGGCGAACGGGUGAGUAACGCGUGGGUGACCUACCUUCGAGUGGGGGAUAACGUUCCGAAAGGAGCGCUAAUACCGCAUGAAGUUCUGGAUUUGAACAUCUGGAAACCAAAGCCGGGGACCGCAAGGCCUGGCGCUUGGAGAGGGGCCCGCGUCUGAUUAGCUAGUUGGCGGGGUAACGGCCCACCAAGGCGACGAUCAGUAGCCGGCCUGAGAGGGCGGACGCCCACACUGGGACUGAGACACGGCCCAGACUCCUACGGGAGGCAGCAGUGGGGAAUUGUUCGCAAUGGGCGCAAGCCUGACGACGCAACGCCGCGUGGGGGAUGAAGGUCUUCGGAUUGUAAACCCCUGUCGAGCGGGACGAAUGGCCCGCGACCUAACACGUCGCGGGAGUGACGGUACCGCUAAAGGAAGCCACGGCUAACUCUGUGCCAGCAGCCGCGGUAAUACAGAGGUGGCAAGCGUUGUUCGGAAUUACUGGGCGUAAAGGGCGCGUAGGCGGCCUGCUAAGUCGGACGUGAAAUCCCCCGGCUCAACCUGGGAACUGCGUCUGAUACUGGAAGGCUUGAAUGCGGGAGAGGGAUGCAGAAUUCCAGGUGUAGCGGUGAAAUGCGUAGAUAUCUGGAGGAAUACCGGUGGCGAAAGGCGGCAUCCUGGACCGACAUUGACGCUGAGGCGCGAAAGCU
rnacentral:rRNA from 1 species